rnacentral:lncRNA from 1 species
CUCUCCCUGUGUGCAAAUGCUUUAUACCUUUUUCCAAAAAAAACCCCAGUGACCUCACAGCUCUUUGCCCUUCCUCCUCAAUCAGAGUCAGCCUCUGUAGGCCUCCUCUUAGCUCAUUUAAACCUCUCUCAGCUGAGGCCUACUGCACGACCUGAUGAAUCCCCAGGUGGGACAGUCUCUGGAUGACCUUUCUUUCAGUCUCGGCUUGACACUUUAUCUCCAUAUUCGUUCCGUAGAAAGAUUUUUGGGAGACAACCCUUCCCCAGUAAGAUGUGAUCGACAUUGCCCACAGUGGUAACAUCUCAUUAACACAGGCUGUGCUAACUUUGUGACUUACUUUGGGUGAAGAAGGGCAAGAGACAUAUGAGAUACCACUUUCUGUCUGCUACCUCCAGAGGUUCAGUGCUUGAACAUGCUUCUAACCCAGAUAUUGUGAUGAUCCAAGGCAAGGCAAGACUACUGGGAGAUGUUUUCCUGGCAACUCAGUUCACACUGAUGCACAAGAAGGGACAGAAUGCUCACAGGAAUGGCCACUCCUAGAUGCAAGCAAUGACAAGUAUUGACAAGGAUGCAGAAAUAAGAAGCUCAAGUGUUCUGAAUAAAAUAUAAAAUGCAUAUGUUUUGGAAAACAUUUUCCAGCUUCCUAAAAAAAAAAUCAGUCAACCUCUCAU